AAAGGAUUUGCGAGAUUAGUUUUAAGUUAUACUUCCCGACGACCGAUUUAAAUGAUUUAUGAAGCACAAGAGAUCUAGGAGAGUGAGCUUUCAUCCAGAAGUAGUCCUGAGUCAUUCUCUUUAACGGUUCAAAAGUUAUAGAUAGUUUAAUGAAAACAUUUCCAGCAACCUCGCGUAUGAAGUGACCAUAGAAAGGAGACAUGACAAAAAAAACAUGAACCUGCGGCUAGAGGCACCGUCCCUGUUACUAGGGUGACAUUUCAUACAAUCCUCCUCUUUUUCCUUUUUCAACUUUGAAAAAACCCUAACCCAACUCUGAAGCCCCAAGACAUUAUAUAUACUCAUUUUUAAUAAGGUUUUCGACACAAACUUCAUGAGAGAACAUCUUCCAAAACUCUGAACAAAAAACAAAUCCAAAAACACUUUUAGAUUUAGAGAUGUUUAUGAACCCGCUAUAUUCUUUGUACUUCGAUAUAGAGAUGUUUAUGAACCCGCUAUAUUCUAUUUCCUUUUAUUUAUGAUUAUGAAUAUGCAUUCCUACACAAUGUUUCCUGCAUGUU
rnacentral:lncRNA from 1 species